rnacentral:rRNA from 1 species
UAAGAGAGAGUUCAAGAGUACGUGAAACCGGUGAGGUGGAAACGGAUAGAGCUGACGUAUCGGACUGGUAUUCAGCCGUCAUUGGCUUGUCGUGGUCGGCGCUGGGCGUUUGGGCUCUCGGGCUCGGGCGCUCAAUGCGUUGGCUGCUGGCGAGUCUUGGCGGUGCAUUUACACAUGUCUGUUGUGCGCUGAGGCGCGUGCGUUAGUCGCUGGAUGGUUUGGUUAGAGGACGCUUUUCCUUCAUCGGACGAGUGAAACCUGGCCUGCCCUAAGGCGGUCUGACGUGCGCGUUCAUUGUGGAGGACGGGCGAUUUGUUCGCGAGGACGAGACGGCGUUCCUGUUGUGGUGAAUGACGGUCGCAAGCGACACGUGUUUGCCAUAGCUGGGAUUGCUGUACGGCCCGCACCGUCUUCUGCCUCGGUGUAAGAGUCGGUCAUCUAUCCGACCCGUCUUGAAACACGGACCAAGGAGUUUAGCGUAUGCGCGAGUCAUUGGGUGUGUAAAACCUAAAGGCGUAAUGAAAGUAAAGACGCCCUUGAGGUGUUGAUAUGCGAUCCGUUGUACUGCGGUGCAGCGGCGCAGCAUAGCCCCGUUCUUGUCGCAUGCGAUGGGGCGGAGGUAGAGCGUAUGCGCUGAGACCCGAAAGAUGGUGAACUA